AUUUUUUCACACCGUCUGAAAUAUUACAUCAGACAACCUCGUGGAGAGGAGGUUUCUCGAAAUGCACAUCCAGCCCAGCAAGUGGAUUCUGGCCGUCUUACCCUGGUGUGAAUAAGCGUCAUCCUGCUGUGGUCAACCUAGAAAUAAAAUCCACUCUGAACAGGGGUCUUCUGAGCAGCGUCCGCACGAGGAAGCCAAGGGCAGGAGAGUCGGCCGGGCCAGUGAGGCUGUAGCCCCCAUCCCAACCCAUGGAGGCUUGCAGCGGCCAUCACACAGUACCCCUGCUUUGGGAGAGUCACCUGGACAGCCAGAUACCCAGCUUCCCCCCAAGACCAGGCAUGUCAUAAAUGAUCGAGCGAAAUAAAUAAUGAAUAAAUGCCUCUCUCUCAGAUUCCA
rnacentral:lncRNA from 1 species